GUAUUUAUAGAAUGGGAUUUCCUCAGACACCCAUAUAAAUGCGUCUCAGGCUUGCGUCCGCACACAAUCAUUGUGAUGUGGGUUUAGGAACCUAGGUAUGAGGCACAUCGAAGUAUUCCUGUUCCUGUGUGUAGUGCUGGCGUCAGGAGCCACAGCUCAUGGCGAUUGUGGACGUCAAUUGUGUCUUCACGGGGACAAGGUUAAGUGUGAGUGCAUCAAGGGCUGUCAUGGACUAGACUGUAAGCUCAGCUGCAGCGCACGGUGUGCACGAAAUGAAUGUAAUACUUCCACAGGGUACUGCUUCCAUUGCACCAAUGGAUCCUACGGAAACAUGUGCGAUCGUAAGUGCCCAUCCGGAUGUCAUGACAACACAUGUGACAGAGUAACUGGUGUCUGCAACGAGCAUUGCAAAGCAGGCUCUUAUGGUCAAAGGUGCAAUGAGGAAUGUCCACAGCAUUGUAAUACUGGCAGGUGUAACAAACAGACCGGGGAGUGUCAUAAAGGAUGUGUCACUCCCUAUCGAGGCGACUUCUGUAAUGAGACUACAAUUUUGACGCCAAGCAAACAACAUUCUGCUGCCAGUAAACCUUCAUUCAUCGUUAUGUUAACCAUCCUCCACAGUAUCUGGUCUCUGUUUAUUUCAUGAUAUUUGGAUGUGUGUUUAUACCUGCGAGGAGAACGUUUGGGUAUUUAUCAAACUGUCUCCAAUUUCGGAUGUCGGACUCAAAAAGAUAAACGAUAAAAAAAGCCAAAAAUAAUUAAUGGAGAUACUAUGUUGGUAUCACAUAAUGAACAUUGUUACUGUGUCAUACUCUAUAAUGUCAGUUGUACCAACAAUGUGUUAUAUACUUUUAUGUGAUUUAUUUCCAGGAGUCUCGCAGUUCUUAAGUUUAGCGUACAGCUCACGAAUCAUGUUAUGUAUAUGUAUGUACAAGUGCAUCACUGUGUUCAUUUAUGUAUCCUUCUGUUGACAUACGUAGCCUCUGCAUACUGGACAUAUCUGUAGCUCUCUGGACAUUUAAGCAAUCAAUAAGUUAAUGUGUAUGGAUGUCUGCACGUCAGCUUCACAAGCGUGUAGUGUCGUAUUCACUGAACAUUACACAGUUGGAAUUGUAUAGAAAAUGUGAACAGAUGUUCCAUAUUCUGUAUGCAGCAGAGUUAACUGAACAGCAGCAGCUGCAGCAGCAACAACAACACUGCUGCCUGAAGCCUGACCAUGUAGUUUCUGUUCAUUGUUGUAUUAUUGAUACCUUGAUGCAGGUUAUAGGGAGUAUCUCACAUAUGUGUUUUGAGAAAGUUGUUUUUAAGAUGGCUGUAGAUUCUUUCUCACAAUUUGUACAAAGAUUAUAGUUUCACAUAGUGCUAUGAAUAUGUAUUAUAUUAGUAUGUAUAUCAGUGUCGAUUUUAUUAUUUUAAUUCUAUUUUGUGAUACUAUUUCUCAUUUAUGUUUUUCUCCUCAUGUUACUGGAAGGUGGUUAUUCCUAGACUUUAGAAAACUUUGAACAAUGAAUUUAUCCUUCACCCACAAACUCAAUAGGAUAAACUGGUCGUGAACUCUUGCUAUGGUAAACUGACAUGCAAAACAAAGCACACACCUGAUAUUGUAGUGUUGUGGUUUUCAAAAUAUGUAGAAAAGUGUUGAAAAUAUGUUGAACACAUUUUGAAAAGUGUUGAAAAUAUGUUGAAAAGUGUUGAAAAUGUGUUGUGACUCACAUGUCACAAUUAUUGUCUACGCGUUACCAAAACACCAGGGGGUAUGUUCUUUUGUAGGUCAGUUUGUUUCCGAAAUGAUGUUUUUAUUGAUGAUGACCGUGCUUCCAUUAUUGCUAUUUAAUAAUGAAACAAGCGUGGCCUGAACAAACUGUUUUCAUACACAAAAAAGAUGACCGCGAUAUCGAAAUCAUUUGAGGUGAUAUAUAUAUAUGCUUAGUCAGAAGGACUUGACCUUGAUUUAGUUGGUCGUAUUGCUGUUUCGGAUGUAGUGUCAGUAAUCACACGUACGACACAUAGUUGGGGACACUGACAUAGUGCGCAUAAUCAUCUUUCCGCUGUGCCUUUUUCAGUGGGGUCAUUUCAGUGGCACAGUUCGUUAUCAAAAUAAACAUGCGACAAGGAUUGCCCUUUGUCUUCUGACACCACAGAUCGCCGAGUUGAGUUACGACCCAGGCGCGGCAGAAAAUACAUGUAAUCGUAUUGUUCAAUGUUAGAUUCGCUUUGUUCCCAGGUUUAUCAAGACUAUAGUGCUCGUGGAUUUCAAAAUAUUACUUUUAGAAAUUGAUUGAGUGGUAUCGCAAUGAGAGUACAUGCAAGUUUAUCUUUCCAUUACAACCGAGGGGGCAAAGCGUUCGCUCGUUAUGCCGAAGACCCAGGUUUGAUUCCCCAGAUGAGUACAAUGUGUGAUGCCCAUUUGCUUGAAUAUGUCUAAAAGUGGCAUAAUGGCCAAGUCACUCACUCGCUACAACCGUGAUGCACAAGUAACACUCAAACUGAUAUUUUUUACGGGACAAAGGACACGGGCUGCCCAGGCGUCUGCAGUGCAGUAGAAUUUGGUCCCCUGUUUGUAGCAGGUUGUCUGUCUUUCGUUGUACAAGGGACUAUUUGUCUAUUUCAACAUGAUCGACAACAUUUCUAUAUCUUUAUUGCUUAACGCAACAGCAUCUAUUUAUCCUUAUUGCUUAACUCGACAACAUUUGUUUAUCCUUAUAGCUUAACUCAUGACGCAUGGCACACGCUGGACACAAAGAAUUACGAUAUUAAGUUGGAGACGUACUUAUAAAUGGCUCCGUAUAGCCAACAACUAAACAAAAAAUACGAACAAGGUUUACGACACAGUCAUUAUCGGUCAACAGGAUCUCAUGGAGGUAUAAUUUAAUGUAAUAAAUUCCAUUGAAGUUUCA